GGAGAGGUACCGAAGCGGUCAUAACGGCGCCGACUCGAAAUCGGAUGGGGGAUGAAAGUCCCCACAGGAGUUCGAAUCUCCUCCUCUCCGCCA
rnacentral:tRNA from 1 species